rnacentral:rRNA from 1 species
GUAGGUGGCAAGCGUUGUCCGGAAUUAUUGGGGCGUAAAGCGCGCGCAGGCGGUCCUUUAAGUCUGAUGUGAAAGCCCACGGGCUCAACCGUGGGAGGGGUCAUUGGAAACUGGGGGACUUGAGUGCAGAAGAGGAGAGUGGAAUUCCACGUGUAGCGGUGAAAUGCGUAGAGAUGUGGAGGAACACCAGUGGCGAAGGCGACCCUCUGGUCUGUAACUGACGCUGAGGCGCGAAAGCGUGGGGAGCGAACAGGAUUAGAUACCCUGGUAGUCCACGCCGUAGACGAUGAGUGCUAAGUGUUAGAGGGUUUCCGCCCUUUAGUGCUGCAGCUAACGCAUUAAGCACUCCGCCUGGGGAGUACGGUCGCAAAGACUG